GGCUGAGUAACACGUGGGCAACCUGCCCCCUCCACCGGGACAGCCUCGGGAAACCGUGGGUAAUACCGGAUACUCCGGGACGGCCGCAUGGCCGGCCCGGGAAAGCCCAGACGGGAGGGGAUGGGCCCGCGGCCUGUUAGCUAGUCGGCGGGGUAACGGCCCACCGAGGCGAUUAUGGGUAGCCGGGUUGAGAGACCGACCGGCCAGAUUGGGACUGAGACACGGCCCAGACUCCUACGGGAGGCAGCAGUGGGGAAUCUUGCGCAAUGGGCGGAAGCCUGACGCAGCGACGCCGCGUGCGGGACGAAGGCCUUCGGGUCGUAAACCGCUUUCAGCAGGGACGAGGCCCUCACGGUGACGGUACCUGCAGAAGAAGCCCCGGCUAACUACGUGCCAGCAGCCGCGGUAAUACGUAGGGGGCGAGCGUUAUCCGGAUUCAUUGGGCGUAAAGCGCGCGUAGGCGGCCUGUUAGGUCGGGGGUCAAAUACCGGGGCUCAACCCCGGUCCGCCCCCGAUACCGGCAGGCUUGAGUCUGGUAGGGGAAGGCGGAAUUCCCAGUGUAGCGGUGGAAUGCGCAGAUAUUGGGAAGAACACCGGCGGCGAAGGCGGCCUUCUGGGCCACGACUGACGCUGAGGCGCGAAAGCUAGGGGAGCGAACAGGAUUAGAUACCCUGGUAGUCCUAGCCGUAAACGAUGGAAGCUAGGUGUGGGGG
rnacentral:rRNA from 1 species